GCAAACUUGGUCAUUUAGAGGAAGUAAAAGUCGUAACAAGGUUUCCGUAGGUGAACCUGCGGAAGGAUCAUUAAUGAAUAAACCUGGUGGGCUGUUGCUGGCUCUUUGGAGCAUGUUGUGCACGCUUGCCAUCUUUAUCCAUCCACCUGUGCACACCCUGUAGUCUUGAGAUCAUUACAACACUUGUCGACAGGUCUUUGUCGGAGGGUGAUCUGCUGUGUUCAUUUCAUGGCUGUCUUCCUUGGUUGGGUCUUAAGGCUAUGUGUCUUUCUCAUACACCACGUAGCAUGUUACAGAAUGUAAUCAAUGGGCCUUUGUGCCUAUAUAAACUCUAUACAACUUUCAGCAACGGAUCUCUUGGCUCUCGCAUCGAUGAAGAACGCAGC
rnacentral:misc_RNA from 1 species